rnacentral:rRNA from 1 species
UACGUAGGGUGCAAGCGUUUGUCCGGAAUUAUUGGGCGUAAAGAGCUCGUAGGCGGUUUGUCGCGUCUGCCGUGAAAGUCCGGGGCUCAACUCCGGAUCUGCGGUGGGUACGGGCAGACUAGAGUGAUGUAGGGGGAGACUGGAAUUCCUGGUGUAGCGGUGAAAUGCGUAGAUAUCUGGAGGAACACCGGUGGCGAAGGCGGGUCUCUGGGCCGAUACUGACGCUGAGGAGCGAAAGCGUGGGGAGCGAACAGG